AAAAGAAAACCAAGGAUAAUGUGGCUGGGAUAUUGAAUAAGCCACAGGCGGCAGCCACCAGCAGGCGUCAGGAGCCCUGGUGCAGACUAAUUUCACAAUAUACCAUGCACCCUACCCUUUCUAUUUACGGUGCGCUUUUCACUAUCGGUCAUGGAGCACAUCAUGAUUUCAGACUGGGCGAAUCAUCCACUGCCUCACCUGUUUGUAGACUGAAGCAGGCUAAGCGAGGUGCACUCCUUGAAGUCUUUGAACCCAAAGUUGUCCGUGUCAAUGGGAAAUCUUUGGACAAGGCUGCCAAGAUUACCUUGAAUGGAGGAGAUGAAAU